GAUGAAGAACGUAGCGAAAUGCGAUAAGUAGUGUGAAUUGCAGAAUUCAGUGAAUCAUCGAAUCUUUGAACGCACAUUGCGCCCCUCGGUCUUCCGUGGGGCAUGCCUGUUCGAGCGUCAUUUAACCCCUCAAGCCUAGCUUGGUAUUGGGUGCUUGUCCCGCCUCUCGCGCGGCGACUCACCUCAAAGUCAUUGGCAGCCCGCAUCUCGCCGGCCGUGAGCGCAGCACAGACGCGCUCUUGGCAACGACGGAUCGGCUCUCCAAAAGCUUAUUUCAACCACUGACCUCGGAUCAGGUAGGGAUACCCGCUGAACUUAAGCAUAUCAAUAAGCGGAGGA
rnacentral:misc_RNA from 1 species